AUACGUAGGGGGCGAGCGUUGUCCGGAUUUACUGGGCGUAAAGGGUGAGUAGGCGGUAAUAUGUGUCAGAUGUAAAAGGCUAAGGCUUAACCAUAGUUAGCAUUUGAAACUGUAUUACUUGAGUGCAGGAGAGGUAAGUGGAAUUCCUAGUGUAGCGGUGAAAUGCGUAGAUAUUAGGAGGAACACCAGUGGCGAAGGCGACUUACUGGACUGUAACUGACGCUGAGUCACGAAAGCGUGGGUAGCAAACAGGAUUAGAUACCCUGGUAGUCCACGCCGUAAACGAUGAGUGCUAGGUGUUGGGUAGCGAUACUCAGUGCCGAAGUAAACACAAUAAGCACUCCGCCUGGGGAGUACGGUCGCAAGACUGAA
rnacentral:rRNA from 1 species